CGUGUGCAGCAUAACUGCCCCAGCAGCAGUGUGGGGCCGCAGGCUGACCCUGCCGGGAGCUGGGGGUUCCUGCUGCUCCCCUUAUCUGAGGCACAGAAUGGGCUGGGUUGGAUUGGGUUGGGUUGGGUUGGAAGGCGCCAUACAGCCAGUCCAGUUCCGGCCUCUGCUGCGGGCUAGGUGCCCCGCACCAGCUCAGGCUGCACAGGGGCCCAUCCAACCCAGCCCUGAAUGCCUCCAUGUAUGGGGCACCCACACUUCUCUGAGCAGCCUGUGCCAGGGCCUCACCACCCUCUGAGUGAAGAAUUUCUUUCUAACAUCUAACCUGAACCUUCCCUCUGUUAGUUUAAAGCCUUUCCCCCUUGUCCUAUCACUAUCAGACCGUGGGAUGGUUCGUGUGUGUGUGCCAUGGGGUGGAUUCCUUCCAUGCUGUCUCCUCAAGGCCAUAGCAGCACAGCCAUCAGGAUGGGGCCACCCUGGGCCCGAGCCGCCCCAUGCCGUGUCGCAGCUGGCAGCUCUUACUGCCACAGCGGUACUGCUGGCGGUGGUCCUUUCCCUUUUCCUUAUGUUUGUUUUAAGGAAGCAUUGUUUGGAUUUUGGCAGGUUGCUCCAGAGGUGGCACAUUUCAUGGCACUAGACAGGAGCAAAAUUGGGUCGUAGCUUUGAAUGUGUAGUUUAAUUUUGGAAUGUUUGGUUUUGGAAUGUUUAAUUUCUCUGCAGUUCCAGUGGGCUCAAUGUGCCAUGGGACAUGAUGCUGAAACAGGCGGAACCCUCGGUAAUGGCAUUAAGGCAGACCGAGCAGAAGUGCCACUCGGGCCAGGCUGGGUGCAUGGCAUUUUGGGCUUUUGGCAAGUACCUGUGCCUGCAGUUUAUAUUUGGUCUGUGUGUAACUGGCCUGACAUAAGAAGGCAGCUGUAUGGGUGCAUGCUGCAGCAAAGCAAUGGGUCUCCAUAUAGAAAGAGCUGUCCUUAUUCUGAUCCUUAUUCUUAAUCCCUAUUCUGAUCCAGAUCUGGGCAGGUAACGGCAGACAUACAUAGGAACACUCAAAUACACAGGCACAUUCUUGUUAAAUGUGUAGUAAGGUUUGAAUGUACACUGAUUUCUCACAAGCCUCACAUUUGCAUGUUGUGUAGCAGUGAGGAGCUGCUUGCACAGGGCGAGAACAAACCCAGGGGGGAUGCAUCUCACCUAUUCCUCAUUUUAGGAUCUAAUCUGCAGUGCACUGGUGGUGAUCCACUAGCAGAGCUUGGCCACAGAGAGCUCUCCAUGGCUGUAACAUCCUGUCUGUGUUCUGACUGCUGGAACCAAUGGCAAUGCACUGCACUAGGUGCCAGCCCCAGCUCUGGAGCUUGUCUUUCUGAGUACUAUUCGGAAAGCUGCAGGUCAAAUGAGUUGACAAAUGCUGGAGUCACUUGUGUUGUGCAUUAAAGAUGUAUCAUAAAUAAAUAUCAGGGCACUGCGAGAGCUGUGGUUCUGGAGGCAGCAGUCAGUGCAGGCUCCCUGCUCCGACCCACAGGGGUAAUGUGACGUUUUUGUGCCACUUUAAAUGAGCUCCAUCAUAUCAGGUGAAACGAUUCAUGAUAACCUCAUGCAUUUUAAUGUAAAUGUCAACUGCAGUCUUGUAAAAGCAAACGUCCCUUAGAUACUUUGUCUAAUGCCUCAGUGCUUGCCCAUGCAUUGUGGUUCCUGAGGGCGUUUUGGCAAAACUCUUGGCUUAUCCAUACAGCUCUGCACAGGUUAAUCCCAUAGUGCUGUGCGCGUUCCUCCUGUAUGGAGGGUGGGAGUUUUACCUGCCAGGGGCUGCAGCUCCCACAUGUCAUAGCACUCAUAGCUCAGCCAAAGAGCAGCAUGCUUUAUCAGAGACAGAUGAGAUCGGAGCUUUGCAGCACGUGUUAUCCUGCCAGAUUGUGUGCAGAGUGCGGUAACACAGCAUAUAAUGACGGUUUGUAAUUCUUUGUAGGUCACAUACAGUCACUAGCGUACCUGUGACAGCAGUGGCUGAGACAGUAGUGGAAGACAAUCCCACAACCUCGGCUCUGCGCCGUGUGCUCUGUGGGCCAGGUGAGGCCCGUCCCCGUGAGGUGGGGCUGACUGCCAUGGAAGGCCGUGCGUGUUUGAGCCAUCCAUUGCAUCUGAAAGAUCUCCAGCUCCCAGAAGAACAUCCACAGAGAUAUAACGUGACUCUGAGAAGCUGUGAGGACUCUGCAGCCAAAUGUGGGGCCAUCCGUGUUCUUGGGCUAGAGACUGACAUGAUCUGAACUUUCAGUAGGUCAUCCAGCCUCCGUGAUAGCAUAAUCAGAGCACGGGAUAAAGACGUGAUAAGCACGGACAGCAUCUUUUGGGAAUGCUUGAGUAGCUUUUUUCGUAAGCAGUGUAACAUCUGUUGUCGUUGGAGGCAAAAGUUCUUGUCAAAGAGACACGUCAUCCUUAUAAAUAUUAAUGGUGCAUAUGAAUGGCGGUGGGUGAAAGCUGCGGUGGAUGUUUGGUUAACGGGUGGAUUGCUCCUUAGGCUUCAGUUUGCUGUCACUGAAUUAUUUUUAAAAUUGCCAACAGUUUGUGUGGCACAGCGAACAAAGAGCUGCCUUCUCCCUCCUCCUCUCCCCAGAGUCCCUUCACAAAUGAAAUGUGUCCUCUUAACGAGUCUCCUGCCCGGUCUUGGAUGAAAAUCAGUCUAUCUCCUGAAACCAAGCUGGAGCUGGAGGAGCCGGGAGCUGUGGGUUAUAAAUGCGGGGAAUGAGGAAAGCUGUACAGAGAGGUUUGCAGCAUUGCCCAUCAGAUGGAUCCCUCUAGUGCUAUUGAUUUCUCUACCGCUAAAAGCAGGUGUUUAAACCUAAGAGGAAAACCUGCUCUCCGAUUCCAAUCUGCCUGUUACUACAACUCAUGUCUGUGGCUUUCAGCACUGAGUUUCUGUUGCCACUUUCAAAACCAUAAGGCUUUUUCUGUACGUUUCUGUUUAUCAGCCAGCUCGGCAGCAGUGCCCGUGUUUGUCAGCUGGGGUGCACAGAGCAGCUCGUGCCAGCAGCAGCAUUAAUCAGUAAUGCUCACAAGGGCCCCAUGUCCGCUCACAGAAGAGCCCCAAGACUACGUUCGCUCCCUAUGAUGAUUUGGAUUCCCCUUGGACUGUGGGGAUGUGUCCUGUUUCUGCCACCUCCAAGGUACUGGUGGUGACAUCCAAACACAGCAAGUGAUGGGGCUGCACUGCAGCAGCAGUGGGAAGGGCAGCGUGCCCCAGCUGGAGAGCGCUGGGUGGGUGCUGCUGGGCACAGCGCUGGGAGCUGGGCUCUGCUGGGGCAGAAGGAGAACCCGGUGUUGGUGUCUGCUUCAUUUGGGUGCGGCCUUCCUGUGCACAUGAAGCAGCAGUGUUGUCUUUGUCCCCUUUAUUUUAGCAGAUGCUUUUAUUGCCUUGACAUCCUUGCCCUCCAACCUGUUGGGCUUCAGUAGAGAGCUUGCUCAGAUGUCAUUGCAGAGUGCUUCAGCCGUUACCACUCAGACUGCUCUGCUGCCAGUGACAAUGGCAGAGCCCCGUGUCGUGCAAUGUUAGACACCGUCGCUCAGUCAUGUUGUAUUUGUGCAAGCCAUUUCAGGGAAGUGAGAAUGAACUGUCUGAGGUGAGUACUGCGGUUUGUCAGUCCGAUUAAGAAAAAUCUGCCUGCAGUGUUUCAGGGAGCAGUUUUGCGGCAUUUCUUGGGACGCCUCCUGUAUUUUCACUCCUUUAGUAUUUCUGCUCUUUGGAAGUUAUCCUAAGUACGGGCUUCACUUCACCAUUCCAUUUACCCUCUCUUUGUAGCAGUGAUAUUUUCAUCGCUGGCUCUCCUUUCUGAUAUUUUCAUUAGUUCCUAAGUGACUUUCAGGCAUUCUUGUUAAUUUACUUCUCAGCUGCUGAAGCCCUGGAACUCAGCCCUUGCUAAGGCUGCAGGCUUUUUUCAGAUGUGUCCCUCCAUGAGUAUUUUUUCUGACGCACAGCGCGUGGCCAGGAUGACUCCCAGUCUGCUCCUCUGGCAACGACACUCCACGUUUGUUGACAGGACACGGGUUUUAUUUUGAUCAGAUUAACACGUACAUAGUCAGGCUCAGAACUUGGCUCAUGUGUUUUGUGAAAUGCUCUAGGAAAUGUCUGCUUUCACGCUCUGCUGCAGAUUUGCAUCCCCAUUGCAAAUUACGCAUCUGUUCAGCAAUGACAACGUACAUUUUACGGUCAGUUUUGAUAAACACUGGGCUUUUCUAAAUCAAAAUGGGAAAUAUUUUACUAGUAGAGACCAACACCCUUUAUUUGAGGGUCCUGGUACCCAUUUCAGUAGCUUGUGUUUUCAUAAGUACUGGUUUAUAAGAUGCGUUUCCUGGAAGUAUCCAUGGACAGCGUAGGAAAUGCCCACAGUAAUAGAUAUUUGUAGACUGUGGCUAGCAGUCCGCAAGUCCAAGACAGAAGAAAUACCCUUUCUUAUCCACUGCAUCUUGUCUGAGACAUGCCAUGCUCAUACUGCAGGCUGGGUAUUUCUCAAAGGAAGUGGUAGUGUAUAGGCCAGACUGCUUUUAAUGGCAUGGAAAAGCACCUUCUGGGGACUUGGUCUGUCAUAGCAUCAUAGAAUCGUAGAAUCAUUAAGGCUGGAAAAGACCACUGACAUCACCGAAUCAACCCAUCACCACCAUGCCCACUGACCAUGUCACUCAGUGCCACAUCUACACAUCUGCAUGUGUUAUGGAAGGGAUGUCUACUUAUCUGUGAGAAGUGUAGUGUGUGUUCACCUCGCUGUCCUGCACAGCUCAUUUGCUUGGCAUACUGCUCCACCUAUUUGUGCUGGUGACUGGAUUCUGUAAUCUGCUGCCUGUCAGAGCUCUGGCAGCGGGGGGAGCAUGCCCAGUGCCACUGGGCUGCCUGGAUUCCAGCAAGCUCCUUUGGGAAUUGUGCCACCUAAGCCGUGGGCAAAAAUCAUCCAACCAAAGACUGCACCAGUUGGCAGCACCAUUUCCUUGUGUGCGGAUGGGGUUCAUUUUGGUUGAAACUAAAUCAGAAGUUCUGAUCUGAGCUUGCACCUGAUGUACUCUCACAAUGAUGGAGAACGGGGUGGCAGCAGAAGGUCCUCUGGAGAGCUGUGAGCCACGUGCAUGGCCACAAGUUUGGCUCAGUCUGGCGGGAGGCCCUUAAGAAACAUACACGAUAGAUGCAACAGCCUCAAGAGCAGCUCCUUCAACCGCUGAUCUCCUCUAUCACACACAAUUACACUGCCAGCACUUUGGGAAGGCUCCAGCGGUAACAGGAGAAUGUUUGUGCAGACAGACUUUGAAGAGGUGAGUACUGGAGUCAGAAGGACAAAGGAGUAGUGAUUCAUGUGAUAGCGGGUUGGAGAGGUGCUUCUUAAGUCUUGCCUCACCUCUUUAAUCUGUGCAGUCCUUGGCAUCUUGCUAGUGCUUUUCAUCUAGAUGAGUACAGUCAUCUCUCUCAGGUAGGAGAUGGGAAAUAUUCAAGUGUGGAGAGAUGGAAGAGAGAGCUGGGCUUAGAACAAAGCGAGUGUCCCGUGGCCCAUACCACUCCCUCAGCUACUGCCCCAUGCUGCUCCUCUGUAACUGCAGCUGCUCAGAAAAAUGCACAGAGCAAUUGACACCCAGCCCAGCUCUGUGGAGGAGAGAAGCUGCCCUGACCGGCUCAGAGCUUUCCUCUAGUGAUUUGGAUCUGUGUUGGAAUGCUUGCUCUGCUCAUGGGCCUUUCUGCCCCAGAUUCAUCAGAUUCCCUCAGAUGUCGUGGCCAUGGAGAGCAGAGGUUCUGCUUGCCGCGGUGGCCUCAUGGUCAGUGUGCGAUCCUGUGUGUGGUGCUGAGCAGCGGGAAGCACCGGGAGGCACCAUGCUGCUUUUCCCCAGGGAAUAUUGACCGCAGGAUGUCUGGUUGGGAGAACCUGUCUGUCUGGGUUUUGCUUCGGUUGUGUUCAGUGUCUGGGUGGCUCUUCUCUCACACCUAUCGAAGUGAUAUCUCAGCACUUUUCAGGAGUGCACGAGGUGACGCGAUGGCUAUCCUACACGGAUUGCUUGUUCUCACAGCCUCUCUGGUGGGAAGAGUGCAUAUCUUGGAGCAUUUUGCUUUGUACCUCAGUGCCCACGGAGGCUAACUGUUAGUAGGGCAGUGGGCAGGGAAGCUUGAGGUUCUGUGGUUGCUCCUGACAGCCCGGAGGGACCCAGCUGUGGAGGUUGGCUCUGCCCUGCGGUGGGAGCUCCUCUGUCCCAAGGAGCUCAGCCGUGGCUCUGCCGGUGCCCUUCUCUGUCUUGCUGAACUGCUCUUCUGUGGAAUGCUCAUUUGUCUCUUCCUUCUCAGUUUGUGGGAGGUAGAAAAUGUGGCUUCCCUAAGGGAGUGCAUCCCUUCUGGUGUGUGGGGGAGGGAACAUCGAGCUCUCAGCUAAAGGGGGAGCUGGGGGUGCUGCCUCAGAGGGGUCAGUGUGCUGGGCGGUGACAGAUGGCUCCUCAGUGCCUGACCGGGUCCCUGUGUAAUCCUGUUAGGGUGCCAGGCAGAGCCCAUCUGCUGGCGGAACGCUGCAGGCCGGGGAGAGCUGUAGAAAUCUGUUUGAUUAGUUGCAUUAGCCAAAGAAAACGUGAUGGAAAUGUUCUAACAAGCUCUUUAACUCCAAAUGCACAGCAAGAUUGGUGACACCCAGUGCAAGCACCAAAGGAGUCCCAGAAGCAGACGGAGUUUCCAAGCUCUGGUACGUCUGCGAUUAGUGCCCGGGGCAGCAAACUGCAUUCUUAGAGGGCUGCGAUGUACAAACAACACAUAUUUGCAGCACAGAUCCAGGGCUGGUUUCAGUUCUGCUACAUUAUUCAUGAGCGUGUGAAAACUCUGACAAAUGUGACAGACUCUGGGUUAGGUUCUCAACAUUACUUCUCGUACGAUGAAAUAUGAGUACUGCUCUGUUAAGAUAGGAAUGUAUACACUGGAAGCUGUGAGAUAAUGACAUAUGUAUAAAGGGAAACUGAAGCCUUUGGUGUCCUGGUGCCAGCGAGCUUCCCCCCAGGAGCGCGGUACUAUCUAGCUGCUGGCACUCGCAAUCACUGCUGUAUGCUUAAAAGCAGUUUGACAGUGUUCUGCUCCAGAAUUGCUUCUCGCAUAGGGUUUUGCAGGGUCACCUGCUUUUAAGUGCAGAGGAUUAGGAACCCCUCCACAGGUCCUGCAGGGAUCACACAGCAGUCUGUAGCCUCAUCAUCCCAAAGUGAGGAAAGUGACUCUGAAACUCUGAAAAUGUGGCUGCGCUGCAGUGUGUGGGGCUGAGCCCUGCUUGCACUGGGGCACACCAGCAGCCAGGAGCCACAGCUGCCAGGGCCCAGUGCAGAUGUUAGGACACAUUUUUCCUGGAGAGGGGGUGGUACAGCUGACAGCGCUUUUUGGGUUGUCAGGGAGGAGGUGCCUGUACCGAAGAGCAUAGUACUGCUCUUGUACAGUCCUGGUCCUGAUAAAGCCGACGAAUCUGAACUAAACACCGAGUUCCUUUGUCAAACACAAGUAGCAGCUGACUUCAUGUGUGUGAAGGGUUAGGGAUAAUCUCCUGCCUUCCUAAAGAAGGCAGGCCUUUUUUUACUGAAAACUGUUGAUGUGCGAAGGAUUCUGUCUGACCAAAGUAGGUUUGUACUUAAGUACAUGGUGCGAGAUCAUUUAAAAGAGCCCCUUGGAUGGAAAAGAAGGCAAUGAGAAAUGAGUGCCGUGCACCGGAGGCUGUUGGCCAAGCACUGCAGUCUCACUUUUCUAUUUUUAAAGCUCUCGCCAGCUGCUGUGUGGUCAUUCCCUCCACACCCACGAAAGAAAAAAAAAACACACCGAUUAGAAACAGGAAAUAAUAAAACCCACUCACUGCAAAGGAUGUCAAAAUGUACAGAGUAAACAACCAGAGACGGUGAGAAAUAUGUAUUUCCCACUGGUCUCUUUUCAGCACAGUAACCAAAGCUGAUAAUUAUAGUCAGUGGGGAUUUACAGCAUUAGGGGAAAGUACGUUUUUAUGUUGAUGCUGUCAAAACAUAGGAGAACACUGGCGGCACAGCAGAGUGUUUUCUAGCCCCUCUCCCAGCACACCACUGAGGUUGCCACAAGUUGAUAAGGUGCAUUACCAAAACAAUAGGGAAGGAAAAGAAAAUGAUGACAUUUCAGGCCCUAUUUUGGGAAGGGAUCUGCUGCUUUACUUGCCAUGUAGCCAUGCAGUCCCCAGCACUGGGCAGCCGAGUUUUCUGUAAUGGUGCAGCAAUGGGUGCUCAGGUCACAUGCAGCUUUCUCUGACCUCAGCGGUGUGUGCGGUGAUAUCUACGACUGUCUUUAUUGUCUUUCCUCUUCCGGGAUCCCGAGGUUCACUUUGCCUGACUGUUAUCACAACCUGUGAGUGCUCCGUGACUUUGCUGCCUCCAGUUCCCCUCAUCUUCUAAGGAAUGGCCUUCCUGCCCCGCAGUCCAAGGACCCUGGUGCUCUCCUGCUCCUGCCAGCCCUCUGCUGCCACCCCAAUGGCUUUUCAAAGGUGCUGGAUGAAAGGCACAGCUACGCAGAACAGGAUGCUAAAUCCAGAGCACUGCAGCAUUCUUACAGGAAUCAGAACUGAAAUCUCCUACGGUUGCACGGAAAUAGCUGUAACAAUAACAAAAAUAUGAAGAAGAGAUUGGCUGUUUGCUGCUUUGUUCAAUGAAGUGGUCUCAGCUGCU